AACCUCUCGAGGUGGUUGAAGAUCCCGCAGAAGUUGGGGAGGCUGCUCAUCAGCUUCUUGUCGUUCAUCAGCUGCAUCAGGUACACUUCAGAACCACCUGAAAUGGCUCCUGUGGCACCUCUUUUUGAAGCACCAUUGCAGCCAGUGCAAAGAAUUCUGGGACAUAGAUGAGGACUAAUGCGACAGAGCAAAAACAAGAAUACUCUUUUGAAAAAAUAAAGGACACGGGAAGGAUCUGGUCACAAAGAGCACCAUCUUCCAACUAUCCUAAUGACUGGCUGAGAUCAGCACUUUGAUGAAGGACAACUGCUUGAAUCUGAAUCUGGGCAUGAUAGAGCUAACAUCAGUGGGAAGAUGAAACCAUGCUGAAGAGCUAGCAUCCUUCAUCCCAUCACCUGAAAUGGAGAGUGUCUACCCUCAGAUAACCAAAACAGUCUACAACCAGAGGAUUCCUUUGGAUUCCUCAGUGUUGCAGGCAUAGGUGCUGACUCCGUGGGUGCUCCAGGGCUGGAGCACCCAU